UCUCUGUAGGUGAACCUGCUGAGGGAUUAUUACUGAGUGAGGGCUCACGCCCGACCUCCAACCCUUUGUGAACACAUCUUGUUGCUUCGGGGGCGACCCUGCCGGCACUUCGUCGCCGGGCGCCCCCGGAGGUCUCCAAACACUGCAUCUCUGCGUCGGAGUCUUAAUGAAUUUAAACAAAACUUUUAACAACGGAUCUCUUGGUUCUGGCAUCGAUGAAGAACGCAGC
rnacentral:misc_RNA from 1 species